GCCCGCUUAGCUCAGGGGCAGAGCGCUUGUCUCGUAAACAAGAGGUCGUUAGUUCAAUUCUGACAGUGGGCA